rnacentral:piRNA from 1 species
UAUAGAAUGGGUGCUUUUGUGC